rnacentral:lncRNA from 1 species
AGGAAUUCUAGGACCCAGCCUAAAAAAAUACAGCCUGAAGAAAGUCAGAAUCUGGACACAGCCACAUGUGUAAUGUUCCAGCAGCAAAAACAAAAAAGAAUCUAGAUACUAAGAUGUGUCUGGACCUUCUGUGAUUACAGCUAAGCAAGCUGAGAAUAAGAGACAUGACUUGCCACAUUCAAGAAGCUGAAAGUGAAGUAACACACAUUUACCUGAUUCCAGAGCCUGUGUUGUUUUGCUGUGGCCCAUUGCCCCACAAGCCUCCAGUGACACCCAGACCUAGAACUAGAGGCCUGGGAAAGUACCAGAUUAGAGUUUAGGGCUACAAGAUGAUAAAUGAUGGACUUAGUCCAGAGUGUGCAUUUUAAUGGGGUAACGCCUAAAGGAUGAAUUCGGUACUGUGAUACUUAGGGUAUUUGCUUAUUUAUUUAUUUUGUUCUUACUCUUAUGUGGCAUAAUUGCAUUUAUGAGAUAAGACAUUAAAAACUAUUCUAUCCUCAGAAUGGUUUGUGUCAUCUGCUCUUUGAGAGUUAAUUUUUUGUUCAUGUGUUUGUUUAACUACAUGGAAUUUGAAGAUAAAUGUCAAUGGUCAGAUUUUCUUUUUUUUUUUGGCAGCCUUACUUUGUCACCCAGGCUGGAGUGCAGUGGCACGAUCUCAGCUCACUGCAGCCUCCGCCUCCCGGGUUCAAGUGAUUCUCCUGCCUCAGCUUCCCAAGUAGCUGGGAUUACAGGCGCCCGCCACCAUGCGUAGCUAAUUUUCUUGUAUUUUUAGUAGACACAGGGUUUCACCAUGUUGGUUAGGCUGGUGUCAAACUCCUGACCUCAAGUGAUUUGCCCACCUUGGCCUUCCAAAGGGUUGGCAUUACAGGUGCGAGCCACUGUGGCCAAGGUCAUAUUUUUUUUCCACAAGUAUGUAAUAGAGAUUUAGGAAAGCCAUAGUUGGCUAUAUUCAAGGAAAUUAAAUUGUUUUUAAAUAAAAAUCCAUGAAACUACAAUAUACAAAAGUUAGUAAGCAUCAUAAACAUGAAGUAAACUAGAAGUAUGUACUAGAGAGCAUUAUUCCUUAUUAAGUGUUAAGAAAAGUUUUAUUAAUAACAUUAAUUCUCUAGAUAAUCACUUUUUAUAUCCUUUCAAGAUGUCUCUAUCUUGAAACAUUUAUCUGCCACAUUAUAAAAAUAGAUAUUAUUUUAUUCAUUUAUAGAAUACUCACUGUGUUUAAGGCACUAUUCUGGACAUCGAGCUGCAAUAGUGAACAUAAUCAAGUUUCUGCUCUCAUUAAGCUUUGCUUCUAGUGAAGACACAAAUAACAAAUAACUAAACAAAUGAGUAAUCUAAUAUUUCUAUAUGUAUUAGUUAGAGCUAAGUACCCCCUGCUCCUCCAAGCUUCCAAGCCUCCAAGCCUCCCUCCUCCAAAAUGACUAAAAUCAUGUAUUUUUCUUUCCAUAGUCUUAAGGUGCCUGGUAGUGAGUAGCUCAAUCCCUGUGCACAUUAGAAAGAAUUAGGAUUCCUUCCAGGUAUCUGCUGCACCAUCUCCUAUGGCAUUGUUGGCUGAUUAAGCUAGGUCACCAUUACAUACAGGUGACAGCUGCCAGGAGGAUCUUAAGCUACCAGCGGCUUCCCCGCAGCACAUUGUAUUGGAGGGAACUUAGAAAUGAAAGGAUGCCAAUGAACGUGUGGCUAGGUGACCAUGUGGUCAGCUUCAAUUCCAUUACUUUGGAAGGAGAAGAGAGAGGAUUUUAAUGGCUAUCUAGUAGUCUCUGCAUAAUUUUGUACAGUUGUUUAACAACAUAGGAGAUGAUUAUGGAGAUUAUUAUGGUAAAUUGUCAUAAAAAUUUCUCUACAAGCGUUGAUUAACCAUUCUACUGGAGCAUACAGUUUGUUUCCAUUGUUUUAUUACUAUGGACAAGUUAAAAUAUUAGUGGUUCAUGAUUACAUUUUUUAUUAUCUCCUUAAGGUAUAUUUAUAGAAAUAAACUUACUAGUAAUAUUUGGACAACUUUACUUGUUGUUAAUCAUUUUCCAAAAGUAUUAUAUACAUUUUCAUUUACCUAUAGAAUUUUUUUCACACUCUUGCUAGAAAUGAACAUGGAUCUUGUUACUUAUUAAUAUGAGAGACAAAACCACUAUCUUGUUUCAUUAAAUAUUUCUUUGAUUACUAUUUGUCUGAUUUUUUCUCCAGUAUUUUUUAGGUAAUUACAUUUCUUUCAUGUACCUGUUGGGAUACUUCAAUUACAUUGUAUAAAUUGUUAUAGAUUAAGUAUUAAUCCUUUGUUAUAUUUGUUACCAGUGUGUGUUUUUCUUAAGUACUUUUAAAUAUUGUACUUUUAAAUGUUAUAUGGAAAAUAUACUUUUAAAAUAUACAAUUAUGUUCUAGUAAUAACACUUAUUAAAACUUCCAACAUCUCCAGUCAAUGGUAUUCAGCAGUCACCUCUUCUUUCGCUUGCAUGUGGAUCUUUCAGACAUACGACUCGACACAAACUGAGUAUCUUCAUAGGAGCCCUUCUCAGACUGAGUCAUAGUUUGGAAAAGUGUUAUCCAGUUUGGGAGAAGGUGCCUCCUGCUUUUUACUAUUUCUUCAGAACAUAACCUAAAGUAUGUGAUCUUAGAUGACAUUUGUCCAUCUUUAUUCACUUCAUUUGUCCUUUGAGAGAAAUUUGAAAGGAGAAGGUACAAGGUAGUGUGAGUUCUCUUCUCACGGUUGAGCUUCCUCCACACAUUUGGUUGUCCCAUUCAUUCUCAUCAUAAUAUCCCAGGUGGCUCAUUCUCAAACAACUUUCUUUUAACCAGUCCUAACAUUUUAGGAUGUAUUUUUAAAGAAUGAAUGACUUUAUGAAGUUCACAGUCAACAUUUAAGCAUGAAAAUACACAAAAAUUCCCUUUCUCAAAAGUAUAUAAUUGAAGUCUUGUAGGAAUAUUUUAUGUUUUAAAAAUAUACCAGUCAGCUUUUGCUAAGUUAGAAAGUGAAGUAAACAUAAUUUUAAGCCAGGCGGGGUGGCUCACACCUCUAAUCCCAGCACUUUGGGAGGCAGGUGGAUUGCUUGAGCCCAAGAGUUGGAGACCAGCCUAAACAACAUGGCAAAAUCCUAUCUCUAACAAAAAUACAAAAAAGCCAGGUAUGGUUGUGCAUGCCUGCAGUCCCAGCUACUUGAGAGGCAGAGGUGGGAGGAUCACUUGAGUCUGGGAGGUUGAGGCUGCAGUGAGCCACGAUUGCACCACUU